UUUUUUAGUUACUGUGGCCCCUUGG
rnacentral:piRNA from 1 species